rnacentral:rRNA from 1 species
GGGCCCGCACAAGCGGUGGAGUAUGUGGUUUAAUUCGAUGCAACGCGAAGAACCUUACCAGGGUUUGACAUCCUGCGAAUCUCUUGGAAACGAGAGAGUGCCUUCGGGAACGCAGUGACAGGUGGUGCAUGGCUGUCGUCAGCUCGUGUCGUGAGAUGUUGGGUUAAGUCCCGCAACGAGCGCAACCCACGUCUUUAGUUGCCAGCAUUUAGUUGGGCACUCUAGAGAGACUGCCGGUGAUAAACCGGAGGAAGGUGUGGAUGACGUCAAGUCAUCAUGCCCCUUACAUCCUGGGCUACACACGUACUACAAUGCUACGGACAAAGGGCUGCAAGUUCGCGAGGACAAGCAAAUCCCAUAAACCGUGGCUCAGUUCGGAUAGGAGUCUGCAACUCGACUCCUUG